rnacentral:rRNA from 1 species
GCCGCGUGUAGGACGAAGUUCUUCGGAAUGUAAACUACUGUCAGGGGUUGAAAGUUCUGAUCAACCCCAGAGGAAGAGGCGACUAACUCUGUGCCAGCAGUCGCGGUAAUACAGAGGCCUCAAGCGUUAGGCGGAAUCACUGGGCUUAAAGCGUGUGUAGGCGGAUCGUUAAGUGCUUUGUGAAAUCCCACGGCUUACCCGUGGAACUGCUUGGCAUACUGGCGAUCUUGAGCCAUCUAGGGGCUGCUGGAACAAACGGUGGAGCGGUGAAAUGCGUAGAUAUCGUUUGGAACGCCAAUGGUGAAGACAGGCAGCUGGGGAUGUGCUGACGCUGAGACACGAAAGCCAGGGGAGCAAACGGGAUUAGAUACCCCGGUAGUCCUGGCCCUAAACGAUGUCCACUAGAUCGCAGGACCUCUGACGGUUUUGCGGUCGAAGCAAAAGUGCUAAGUGGACCGCCUGGGAAGUACGGUCGCAAGGCUA